rnacentral:rRNA from 1 species
UAGGGAAUAUUGGACAAUGGGUGAGAGCCUGAUCCAGCCAUGCCGCGUGCAGGAAGAAGGCGUUAUGCGUUGUAAACUGCUUUUUGCCAGGGGAUAAAAAGACCGUGCGCGGUUAAUUGAAGGUACCUGGUGAAUAAGCCACGGCUAACUACGUGCCAGCAGCCGCGGUAAUACGUAGGUGGCAAGCGUUGUCCGGAUUUAUUGGGUUUAAAGGGUGCGUAGGUGGCCCUGUAAGUCAGUGGUGAAAUAUCUCAGCUUAACUGAGAGGGUGCCAUUGAUACUGCAGGGCUUGAGUACAGAUGAGGUAGGCGGAAUUGACGGUGUAGCGGUGAAAUGCAUAGAUAUCGUCAAGAACACCGAUAGCGAAGGCAGCUUACCAAGCUGUAACUGACACUGAGGCACGAAAGUGUGGGGAUCAAACAGGAUUAGAUACCCUAGUAGUCCCUGAGCGGGCUGGCAAGGCG